rnacentral:rRNA from 1 species
GAGAAUGAGCGCGCCCUCUCGGGGCACGCGGUGGUGGUGGGCUGCGGUUCUCCGUUGGCUCUCUCUGAGGUGCAGUGCGCCUUCGCUGCUCGGUUCAGGGUGCCGGACGAGCAAGUCCAUGCAUCGCUGCUCGACCAGGGGGAGUUCCUCCUCUACUUCGAGGACCUGGAGGCUCGGAACGAGGCGGUGGCGGUGCCGGGCCUGCUCACCUUGGGCAUGGUCUCCUUUCGGAUUGCUCCGUGGACAAGGUUCAAGAAUGCGAUGGUGGCGACCAUGCGGUUCAAGGUGCAGGUCUACCUGGAACGUGUGCCGCGCAACGCUUGGAGUCUGGAGGCGGUGGCCUCCCUCUUCGAC